rnacentral:piRNA from 1 species
AGGAACAAGAAUUCAUGCCCCCUCAAU